UAACGCGUGAGGAACCUGCCUUCCAGAGGGGGACAACAGUUGGAAACGACUGCUAAUACCGCAUGAUGCAUUGAAGUCGCAUGGCUUUGAUGUCAAAGAUUUAUCGCUGGAAGAUGGCCUCGCGUCUGAUUAGCUAGUUGGUGAGGUAACGGCCCACCAAGGCGACGAUCAGUAGCCGGACUGAGAGGUUGGCCGGCCACAUUGGGACUGAGAUACGGCCCAGACUCCUACGGGAGGCAGCAG
rnacentral:rRNA from 1 species